rnacentral:rRNA from 1 species
GAUGAACGCUGGCGGCGUGCCUAAUACAUGCAAGUCGAGCGAACAGACGAGGAGCUUGCUCCUCUGACGUUAGCGGCGGACGGGAGAGUAACACGUGGAUAACCUACCUAUAAGACUGGGAUAACUUCGGGAAACCGGAGCUAAUACCGGAUAAUAUAUUGAUCCUCAUGGUUCAAUAGUGACAGACGGUUUUGCUGUCACUUAUACAUGGAUCCGCGCCGCAUUAGCUAGUUCGUAGGGUAACGGCUUCCCAAGGCGACGGUGCGUAGCCGACCUGAGAGCGGGAUCGGCCACACUGGAAGUGAGACGCGGCACAGACACUGACGGGAGGCCGCAGCUGGGAAGCUUGGGAAAAGGGCGAAAGCUUGAAGGAGCAACGCAGCGUGGGUGAUGCAGGGCGUCGGGUCGUAAAACUCUGUUAUUGGGGAAGAACAAAUGUGGAAGUAACUAUGCACGUGUUGACGGUACCUGAUCAGAAAGCAACGGCUAACUACGUG